rnacentral:rRNA from 1 species
UACGUAGGGGGCGAGCGUUGUCCGGAUUCAUUGGGCGUAAAGAGCUCGUAGGCGGCUUGGCAAGUCGGAUGUGAAACCUCCAGGCUCAACCUGGAGCCGCCAUUCGAUACUGCCAUGGCUAGAGUCCGGUAGGGGACCACGGAAUUCCUGGUGUAGCGGUGAAAUGCGCAGAUAUCAGGAGGAACACCGGUGGCGAAGGCGGUGGUCUGGGCCGGUACUGACGCUGAGGAGCGAAAGCGUGGGGAGCGAACAGG